rnacentral:rRNA from 1 species
CGGGGUAACGGCCCACCAAGCUUCGAUGGAUAGGGGUUCUGAGAGGAAGGUCCCCCACAUUGGAACUGAGACACGGUCCAAACUCCUACGGGAGGCAGCAUG